rnacentral:rRNA from 1 species
GACGUAGGAUGCAAGCGUUGUCCGGAAUUAUUGGGCGUAAAGAGUUCGUAGGCGGUUGCCUAAGUCUGAUGUUAAAGCCUGGCGCUCAACGCCAGCAUGGCAUUGGAAACUGGGCAGCUAGAGUGUGUCAGAGGUUACGGGAAUUCCUGGUGUAGCGGUGAAAUGCGUAGAUAUCAGGAGGAACACCGGUGGCGAAAGCGCGUAACUGGGGCAUAACUGACGCUGAGGAACGAAAGCCAGGGGAGCGAAAGGG